AGAGUUUGAUCAUGGCUCAGAUUGAACGCUGGCGGAAUGCUUUACACAUGCAAGUCGAACGGCAGCAUAGAGAGCUUGCUCUCUGAUGGCGAGUGGCGAACGGGUGAGUAAUAUAUCGGAACGUGCCUAGUAAUGGGGAAUAACUAGCUGAAAGGUUAGCUAAUGCCGCAUACGACCUACGGGUGAAAGCAGGGGAUCUUCGGACCUUGCGUUAUUAGAGCGGCCGAUAUCUGAUUAGCUUGUUGGUGGGGUAAUGGCCUACCAAGGCGACGAUCAGUAGCUGGUCUGAGAGGACGAUCAGCCACACUGGAACUGAGACACGGUCCAGACUCCUACGGGAGGCAGCAGUGGGGAAUUUUGGACAAUGGGGGCAACCCUGAUCCAGCCAUUCCGCGUGAGUGAAGAAGGCCUUCGGGUUGUAAAGCUCUUUCGCAAGAGAAGAAAACUUACUAUCUAAUAAAUAGUAAGUAUGACGGUAUCUUGACAAGAAGCACCGGCUAACUACGUGCCAGCAGCCGCGGUAAUACGUAGGGUGCAAGCGUUAAUCGGAAUUACUGGGCGUAAAGCGUGCGCAGGCAGUUUUAUAAGUCAGAUGUGAAAUCCCCGAGCUCAACUUGGGAACUGCGUUUGAAACUGUAAGACUAGAGUGUGUCAGAGGGGGGUAGAAUUCCAAGUGUAGCAGUGAAAUGCGUAGAGAUUUGGAGGAAUACCAAUGGCGAAGGCAGCCCCCUGGGAUAACACUGACGCUCAUGCACGAAAGCGUGGGGAGCAAACAGGAUUAGAUACCCUGGUAGUCCACGCCCUAAACGAUGUCUACUAGUUGUUGGUGGAGUAAAAUCCAUGAGUAACGCAGCUAACGCGUGAAGUAGACCGCCUGGGGAGUACGGUCGCAAGAUUAAAACUCAAAUGAAUUGACGG
rnacentral:rRNA from 1 species